UCCUGGAUGCUGAUCCAUCCACCAGGCUUUCAUUGUCUAACGUCGACAGUCUAUAUUUCUGCUCUUCAGUCUGUCCUUAGGAUGAAGCUCUAACUGAACUGAAGUCUGUCUUCCUUUUGGGCUCUGUGCAACUGCAGCUACAGUGGAAAAAAGCAAACUGCUCUUGAUCCCAGAAGGUUGGUAUGUGCAUGAGCACCAUGUAGGGACCUGGGGGGUAGGGGGUGGGGCAUCAUAGCAGAAUCUGAGAUGAUCUCUACUGUUUUUCCAGCUCUCUACCAGCUUUACCCAUGUCUGUACUGCCUCUCGUCCUUCCAUUUAGAUGCUGGAAGUUGUAGGCAUUGGCAGAGCAGGCUAAGGUUGAAGAUGUAGAAAACGUUAAACUAGGUCUGUGAAUCAGCAAACACAGGCCUUGACACCUGUGUCUGGGUGCUAGCCCGCCAACGAAGCAUUGUGUCCCUAAACUCUUCUCUAAGUAGAACUGGUUAGACACGAAGUGAGCCAGAGCCCUAAGCCUCAUUUUUAUCCUUUACCCCUAGGCCCUGCCUAAGCCUCAGCAGAACUUGUAAGCCUAAACUGAAGAGCCUCACCCGGACGAGCAGGCAUCCCUUAACCUUAAGCAAUCCAGUUCCACGCCCUGGAUCAGUGAAUAACCCCAGCUGCACCAUGAGCCGCGUUCGGGAUGCUGGCUGUGUAGCGGCGGGGAUAGUGAUAGGGGCUGGUGCCUGGUACUGUGUCUACAAAUACACCAGAGGGAGAGACCAGACCAAGAAGAGAAUGGCCAAGCCCAAAAACCGGGCUGUGGCUGGGACUGGAGCCAGGGCUAGAGCUGGGCUAAGAGCUGGAUUCACAAUCGACCUUGGGUCAGGAUUCAGUCCCCCAACCCCAGUCCGUGCUG
rnacentral:sRNA from 1 species